UACAGAGGUCUCAAGCGUUUGUUCGGAUUCAUUGGGCGUAAAGGGUGCGUAGGCGGCGUGGUAAGUCGGGUGUGAAAUCUCGGAGCUUAACUCCGAAACUGCAUUCGAUACUGCCGUGCUUGAGGACUGGAGAGGAGACUGGAAUUUACGGUGUAGCGGUGAAAUGCGUAGAUAUCGUAAGGAAGACCAGUGGCGAAGGCGGGUCUCUGGACAGUUCCUGACGCUGAGGCACGAAGGUCAGGGGGAGCAAACGGGG
rnacentral:rRNA from 1 species